rnacentral:tRNA from 1 species
GCCUAAGUGGCUCAGUCGGUUAAGCAUUUGACUUUGACUCAGAUCGUGAUCCCAUGGCUUGUGAGUUUGAGCCCCACAUUGGGCU